ensembl:lncRNA
GACCCGACUCUGCCCACCUGCCUGCCCUGAACACUGACUCCAGAAGUUGGCAAAGCUGCUGCCACCACCCAGCUCUCCCACUCGGCUAUCUGCAGUCAUGUCAGCCGAGACCAAGAGGCAUCAUUGCAAGACCAAGGGAUGAAUUCAUUCUUUUUAAUAAAGGAAUCUUCAAAUCAAAUAGCCCUUCUAGCUAUUUCAUCAACAACCCACUGGAGUGCCAGUCACAGAGACCACUCAUUUACCAGAUUCUGCUGCUGCUGCUGCUGAGUCGCUUCAGUCGUGUCCAACUCUGUGCAACCCCAUAG